UGAGAAAUCAAAAUGUGGAAA
rnacentral:piRNA from 1 species